rnacentral:lncRNA from 1 species
GAGGGAGGUUCGUCCUUUUGAUUGCCCGGGAGGGAAAUAGGGUGAUGGGCGCCAUUUUCCCUACAGGCCGAUGUGUAGGCUGUGGCGCUCCGAGCGGGCCAGCCGGAGCGUGUGUCGGAGACCGGAUGGUCCUUGCCUUGCUAUUGCGGAAUGUUAUUUCAUUGGAAGGGAAGAUGAAGGCAGAAGUAGGGCAGCACGAGGGGCCCACGCGCUCCCUUGGGGUUCUCGGAGUCGGCUGAGGCCUUCACAUUGGGGCUCUGUGUCCCUAGCUUUGCUGAUGCCGGAGACUGGGUUCGGAACCUGCCUGAGCUUGCCUGAUCUCCAGGCAAAGCCAUGCCAUGGGAAGUGGAGCUUUCUGCUCGUGCUGAAAUUCCGGCGGAGCCGAGCUAAUGCAGGGCGACCUAGCGAAUGCUCUAAGAGUAUCCGUGGACUUGUGGGUUUGAAGUCGACCAACUUUGGCAUCGCUCCGUUCCUUUACACGCGCUUUCUCUGUUGUGUCCUGAAGGAUGAAGAAAGCAUCUGUUGGGUUCUUUAACCUAUUGAGACAUUAGUUGUGGUGUAUGUGGUAUGUUUUUUGGUCCUCUCGGCCCAACUCUUUAUUUAAACCAUUUCAAAUACGAGGCAUUUAAGAGAUAAGCAUGCAAUAUCCGCAGUUAAGUAGACUUGCCGGGAGUAUAUUCCAAUAGGAUAGGGAGCCGGCAUCAGCAGUCCUUUGAAUUUCAGAUGCGUUGUCAUAGAUAAAAUAAGUCGAGAAAUGUUAAAAAUAGCCUGGAGAGAUUUGUGUAACAAUCUAGUCGGAACCUACAGUAUUACUCUUGCCCUUACCCAGUCUGAGACUGAAAUUUGCACAGUAAUCCUGGAGGCUAUGAAUUUGGCGGGAGCUUCAGCUUCCAAAGUGCUAAGAGUAGUCUAUGCCACAGCAUCAGGUCUAAUAAACUCCAUUUUUUAAAUGUUACUCU